GAGAGAGAGAGAGAGAGAUUUACUUCAAAGACUUAAAAUGAAGACGAAAAUACCAUAAACUGAAAACGAACAACAAUUACCGAAAAAAAAAAAAAAGUGAAGAGAAGAAAACAAACCAAAGCAAGUGCAGCGAACUCACACACACACACACACACACACACACACACACACACGGACGGACGGACGGAUGGAUGAGAGAAUGAAGAUAAUGGUGGUACGGAAGACCCUCGGAUAAACGGAUAAUAAGACUUUUGAGUGGAUAGAUGAUAUAAAAAGAAGGAAAGACCAUUAAAACAGUGUCAGAGAGAGAGAGAGAGAGAGAGAGAGAGAGAGAGAGAGAGAGAGAGAGAGAGAGAGAGAGAGAGAGAGCAGCAGCAGCCAGCCACCCAGCCACCCGACACGAAUCAGGCACCAUGUCCAAGGUUCAACGGCAGCUGUCCCCUAAUGGCGAACCUUCAGAGGGGUUUUCCAAGACUUUUCAGAACCGCCUUAUCCUGCCGCUGGGGAGUUACCAAGAUAGGCUCGUCCUCCCGCAACGGUAAGUGGCAGCCACGCCUCCACGCCGCAGGCAAGUGACUGCUCUACCUGCCUCAUUACCAUUUUUUUGUUUUUCUGCCCGAGUUGUUAAUUAGCGCACAGGUGAAGGCUACAUAACCGCCUGUCUCGCUUACCCAGUCACCCGUGGUUUAGGUCUUUUUUCGUUUUUUCUGUUGUUUUCUAUUGUUCGUUUGUG